AUCUACCUGCUUUGGAAAGGAGGUGCUUACACUCCAGAGCCCCUCAGCAGUUUCCGGUGGGCUCUUCUCUCAACUGGCCUCAUGUUCUUUUAUCACUUCAGCGUCUUGCAGAUCCUCGGCCUGGUCACCGAAGUGAAUUUGAACAACAUGCUGUGUCCGGCCAUCUCAGACCCAUUCUACGGCCCCUGGUAUCGCAUCUGGGCCUCGGGACACCAGACUCUCAUGACCAUGACCCACGGGAAGCUGGUCAUCCUGUUCUCAUACAUGGCUGGGCCCUUGUGUAAAUAUCUGCUGGAUUUGCUCCGGCUUCCAGCCAAGAAAAUAGACUGAAGCAUCCACCCAGGCCAGGCAAGCUUUCUGCUUCUUGACCAGAAGGGGACCCCCUUUGUUGAGCUCUCUCUUGGGACAGAUGGUUUGUGGGACAUGAGAGGGAAGAGGCAGAGUAUACCUGCAUAAGGGAGCCCACCGUGCCAAAUGACAGGGAAGAAGUCAGACAAGCCAGGCCAGCCAGCCGCAAUAGCUCUGGUUUCUUUCUUUCCCUAACAGCAGCCUGGCCAGACAACUCAGCCUGCUUGCCUGGGGAACUCCUAGGGCUAGUCAUUGCCAGAGGUGAGGUGAGCUGGCAGAAGUAGGGGUGGGGGUGUGAAGCCCAACGUGUCCUGAACUCCCUGGGUUGACGUGAGUGGCUGUCUGGCCCAUGCAGAAGAACACAAUGAUUUCCCUACCUCCUCCAACAAGGUGGAAGAAGAGUCAGGUAGUAA
rnacentral:sRNA from 1 species